GCCUUCUCAGGGUCGCACCUGGAGAGUUUCCAGUAUUCUACCAGUCUCGGCUACGGGAGAGAGAGUCAAGCAGAGGCCUACCCAUUCCUUUCUUAGCUUGUACAGUGGCUUGCGAGUGGAAGGUAAUCUGCUACAAGU